AUUGAACGCUAGCGGCAUGCCUUACACAUGCAAGUCGAACGGCAGCACGGGAGCAAUCCUGGUGGCGAGUGGCGAACGGGUGAGUAAAGUAUCGGAACGUGCCCAGUCGUGGGGGAUAACGUAGCGAAAGUUACGCUAAUACCGCAUACGAUCUAUGGAUGAAAGCGGGGGAUCGCAAGACCUCGCGCGAUUGGAGCGGCCGAUAUCAGAUUAGGUAGUUGGUGGGGUAAAGGCUCACCAAGCCGACGAUCUGUAGCUGGUCUGAGAGGACGACCAGCCACACUGGGACUGAGCCACGGCCCAGACGCCUACGGGGGGCAGCAGUGGGGAAUGUUGGACAAUGGGGGAAAGCCUGAUGCAGCCAUGCCGCGUGCAGGAUGAAGGCCUUCGGGUUGUAAACUGCUUUUGUACGGAACGAAAAGGUUUGGCCUAAUAAGCUGAGCUCAUGACGGUACCGUAAGAAUAAGCACCGGCUAACUACGUGCCAGCAGCCGCCGUAA
rnacentral:rRNA from 1 species